GUGAGGAAUAUUGCGCAAUGGAGGCAACUCUGACGCAGCCAUGCCGCGUGCAGGAAGAAGGCGCUACGCGUUGUAAACUGCUUUUAACCGGGAAGAAACCCCAGGACGUGUCCUGGGUUGACGGUACCGGAGGAAUAAGCACCGGCUAACUUCGUGCCAGCAGCCGCAGUAAUACGAAGGGUGCAAGCGUUAUCCGGAUUCAUUGGGUUUAAAGGGUGCGUAGGCGGAGCGUUAAGUCAGUGGUGAAUUCCUGCAGCUUAACUGUAGACUUGCCAUUGAUACUGGCGCUCUUGAGUGCGCUUGAAGUGGGCGGAAUGUGCCGUGUAGCGGUGAAAUGCUUAGAUAUGGCACAGAACACCAAUUGCGAAGGCAGCUCACUAAGGCGAUACUGACGCUGAGGCACGAAAGCGUGGGGAUCGAACAGGAUUAGAAACCCCGGUAGUCC
rnacentral:rRNA from 1 species